GAGACUGGCCUGGUUCAUUUAAUUCUCUUGAGAAGCGUAAAGCAGCUCUAGGGAUCUAAUUCCAUUGAGUUAAAAUAUUCACUUGGAACUUGGAUGUUCUAGUCAGCAAUUGGAAAAUUUAAGUAGUUAAAUAGUUAAUUAAUUAGUGUUUAGCUAAGGGAAGUCAAUCAGAGUAGCGGCUAUUGAGUGAGGUUAAAUAUCGACCCUUAAGAUCGGUUGCUUCUUAAUAUCGCGGCCUGGUUAGUCUGAACUUCUGAACGAACUUGUGUAGUCCUCUGACUAGUUAUUACGUAGCAUGGUAGAGGCUCACCAAGUAAAAAGCGUAUAAAAAGUACAAACAAAAACAACAACUUCAUUUAAGCAAAUAAUUAUCAUACGCUGAGUGAGCUAUAGACAUAUCAUUUAUAAGUACGCGCAUUAGAAAAUCAUAUCAGUUCCUAAAAUAGGUGACUGAUUUAAAUUAGACGCAAGUGUAUUUUAUUAUUAAAUCUAAGUAUUAAAUUAAUUUAAUCUACAAGCUGCUGCUUCAACAUUGUUGCUUCACUACAAACGAGAGUCUUAUACCCAUAAAAAAUAUUAGUCUUAUCAAAAUGAAUACUCAAUAUUAUUUUUCAAUUGCAAUAACCAUUCUUUCAUUAAUUGGAAAUAUUUUAAGUACAGUGAAUGGAGCUGCUGUGUCGAAGGAUGAAGAUCCGAUUGAGAGGGGUUUUACCGCUCCUGUUUAAAUUUUAUUCUAGUAUAAAAAAUAUACUGUUAUUAUGAGAAACAAGAUGUACUUUAUAAAGAAAUGUGCUAUAUGUUAAUUGUAACGAAUAAAUGAUAUAAUGUAAA